ACAGUUUACUGGUUGGUAGAUGGGCCCCCAGGAGUGAUAUCUGUGAGAAUCAGUCACAAUAAUUGCAUACACUUAGUGUCUGUUAUGACAUAUAAUUACAGUAAUUGGCCCGUGCCAAUCAAUCACUAUUGCUGGACUGCCUCACUUGUGACGAAGCCAGAAAUUGCCUGGCACAUAUUGAUCAUGGUGUAUACCAGGUAUAGUGGGUGCCUCUAGCUCUGCAGCAUGGGCUCAGGAAUUGAAAGUAUCUGAUCCAGAAAUCGCCCAAUACAUGCCAUGAUCAAUACGCACUGGGAUGUAAUCCACCAUCAGCGCUCUAUAGUUCAGGUUGUCUGAUUGAUGUGGUAUAUUCCCACAGUAGUCCAAUAUCUUGGGCAGCCUCAGGGUGGCUAUUGCUGGACACCCUCACUAGUGUCGAGUGCUGCAGCAGCAGGAUUUCAAUGCAGUGGUAGAGACCUGUAAUUUUGGGUGAGGUUUAAAAAAAGACUGCAUACUUUGUAUAUCAGCUAUUACGAAGGCAUUAAAGAAAUGCUACCUGUUCUAGUGAAGCCUUUCAAGAUAUAUGUCUCUAAUCACAAAUUCUGUCACACAUGUAAAUGCAAUUAGGAGAGUCCAACAAGGAGAGAAGG